rnacentral:lncRNA from 1 species
UCAGUGGUUUAUAAGAUUUCAGAUUUUGGAAAAUGGAGGGAAUAUAUAUAUAUAUAUAUUUAUGACAAGUGAAAAUUAGUGGUUUAUAAGUUUUCAGAUUGUGGAAAGUGGAGGGAGCAUGUCUCUGAAGACAAAAGCUCAUCCAGAUGCAGUAUCUUCAGGCAGUAAAGCAGCCAGAAUGGAUUACAAUGAGAAUACAAUUCAGCCUUCCCAGAAGGAUCUCCACAACAGGAUAAUGGCCAUUAUCUAGGUACUGUGUGGUGUUUCAUAUGUUAAGCGGGCUGAAACUGAACACACCUUUGGGCCAUGUGACCACUGUGCAUGUGAAUGAUGACAGAGAGCCUUGAUGGACAAUUAAAGAGCAAUUCACUGCUAAAUGACACAGAAGACAGGAUGUCUGACAAACAUAUUAAUCAGCUCACCCUAAUCUGGCCUGUCAUUCUCAACCCAUAUUUCAUUAGUAUCAUUGUUUUAAUUCCAGAGGUUCAUUAAUAGCAACCCCAUAGGCCGUGCCUGUAAACACGAUUGAGCAAAAUGAUGUUUUUCUCCGUCUCUCUAAACUCGCCUACCGUAUGCAAAUUGAACACGUUGAAUAACAUUUUCGAGCUUCGGCGUUUCUGAGCACCAGAGACCUGCCCUGACCUUUUAAAUAACACUAGGCUUUAGUUUAUCAGCAUGCAAUUCAAAUUAACCUCGUUCUGCUAAAACCGAUAGCAAUUAUAAAAUUGUGGGUAAUGACAUGUAAAAGUAUUAUCUAAGACAUCUGCUUUAAUGUAGGCGCAGGAAUCCGGUGCAGCUGUUGAAGGAUUUGUGAGUGAUAUUUCAAAGCUUGCAUGCGUGCUAUCUCGACACACGAGAUGACACGAGCUUCAGUGUCGGAAAUGACUGGAGGAGGCGAGGAGAAACUCACAAUUCGCGUCUGGUGUUAAACUAUUUUGAUGGCUCUAUUUAUGUGUUUAUUGGCCGAUCGUUUAGCGCGCUUCCCACCUUCAUUGAUUCGGAUUGAGCGGUCGAUCGACGGAAUAAUCAGAGGAUUAUACGCGAGCUUUGCCUGAUCUAAUCAUACUUUCAUAUUGUUAAUAACUUGAAAGGAAAUAAACACUAGCUACAGUAAAAACCGUUAUAUAGCCUACUGUUUUUUGUUGUUGUUGUUGUUUUUAUCAGUUAUGCACAUUAGGAGUGUUUAUGCUUUCACAUUUUUUUCACUUUCAAUUUAAUUAAUGAAUGAAUUAUUUUAUUUUAAGCCUGGGGUUUUGUCUGGCACAGCUGUCAUUUUUCAUACCAUAAAUAAACUUUUUGAAUGUUUUGUUGCAUGUUUAUUUUAUUGCAUAUUUAGUCUGUUUACCUAAAUUCACCUUACUUGUUUUAUUUGUUUAGUAAAAAAAACUAGUAUUUGUGUGUGUUGAUCUUUUUUUUUUUUGGCAAUCAUACCAAUAAUGUAAUAUGAAAUGUAAAAUAUUUACAGUGUAUAUAAACACGACUUAAUUUAAAACACACAAAAUAUGGUAACUUUGGAUAACGUUUUGGCAAAGUUCUCUUAAAUUAUGACUAAACAUUUUUCAAGUAGCUAAUGUAAUGUGGUCGUUAAUAGUGUUCUCAAAACGUUAGCACGAAACAUUAUUUAUAGAUCGUUCACUGAACGUCUUUUUCCUGAAAUGUUAUAGUUGGACAGAAUGUAUUUGUUUCAGAAUGUUUGAAAAUUCAAAAGUAACGUUCUCAUGAUACUUGCAAAAUUAUUAAAUAGAAUGCUUUCCCUUAACGGUCAAAUAAACAAAACAGUUUUUUAAAACACUAAACGUUUUCGUACCUAAACAGGAACGUUAGCAACUUUUUUUGUUAGCUGGGUUAAACGGUCGGGAGCAGAGACGUACGUUACGUACUAGACUCGACAACCCGAGCUACAAGCAGCAGCGGGACGAAACUGAAAUUCGGCUAAACGGAGUUCAAGUGUGUAACCUGAGCAUGAGGUAUAUUGACCCCUCACCAAAUACACUCGCACUCCUCCUUCCUUCCCGCGCAGUGCCUCUCUACUGUUUGUUUGGACUCCGCUGAUCCGGGGCGGAAAUUCCUUUCCGUUUUUGUGAAUGACAAUCUUAUUAACAAUUCAUCAACACAGUCUGUUCCAUCCGGCCCCGUUUCCACGGCGACGCUCGCUCUGCGCCUCCUGAUUGGCUGGCCGACAUAAUGUAUCCAUUGAAACGCCUCGCGCUUGUAUCCAUUCACUAGCUCGCGGUGACAGAGAGCACAUCUAGGACUAGAGCGGCGGAGGACGCAGCGUUGCUUUCUCCGGGAUAAAUCUCGAAGGUAAAUAAAGCUACGAAGCGUUUUGUUUGAGCGACACGUCUGCGAUCGAUAUUCGACGGGAUAUCUAGAUCGGUUCGUGUGAAAAUCGACGGCGAGAGAAGAGAGGUUAUAUAACGAGAAGACAACGUCAGUGGCUCGCGCACUCACUGGCUAGUGUGAGUCAUUGAUAAAUGCACACAGUUGCAUGAAUGGGCUGGAAGUAGAGCGAGUCUGCGCUUGACUCUCGAAGCAAAACCCGAGGAUUUUAAUCAUCUCGACGGCGCAGAAGAGACUUGGACUUGAGAAUCUCAAUGCUCCAAGCCUGAGACGUCCACGCUCUAUUACAGCACGUCUUUUCCGCAGUUUAAGGUCUCACGG